AUGAACGCUAGCUACAGGCUUAACACAUGCAAGUCGAGGGGCAGCAUGGUCUUAGCUUGCUAAGACUGAUGGCGACCGGCGCACGGGUGAGUAACACGUAUCCAACCUGCCGUCUACUCUUGGACAGCCUUCUGAAAGGAAGAUUAAUACAAGAUGGCAUCAUGAGUCCGCAUGUUCACAUGAUUAAAGGUAUUCCGGUAGACGAUGGGGAUGCGUUCCAUUAGAUAGUAGGCGGGGUAACGGCCCACCUAGUCUUCGAUGGAUAGGGGUUCUGAGAGGAAGGUCCCCCACAUUGGAACUGAGACACGGUCCAAACUCCUACGGGAGGCAGCAGUGAGGAAUAUUGGUCAAUGGGCGAGAGCCUGAACCAGCCAAGUAGCGUGAAGGAUGACUGCCCUAUGGGUUGUAAACUUCUUUUAUAAAGGAAUAAAGUCGGGUAUGCAUACCCGUUUGCAUGUACUUUAUGAAUAAGGAUCGGCUAACUCCGUGCCAGCAGCCGCGGUAAUACGGAGGAUCCGAGCGUUAUCCGGAUUUAUUGGGUUUAAAGGGAGCGUAGAUGGAUGUUUAAGUCAGUUGUGAAAGUUUGCGGCUCAACCGUAAAAUUGCAGUUGAUACUGGAUAUCUUGAGUGCAGUUGAGGCAGGCGGAAUUCGUGGUGUAGCGGUGAAAUGCUUAGAUAUCACGAAGAACUCCGAUUGCGAAGGCAGCCUGCUAAGCUGCAACUGACAUUGAGGCUCGAAAGUGUGGGUAUCAAACAGGAUUAGAUACCCUGGUAGUCCACACGGUAAACGAUGAAUACUCGCUGUUUGCGAUAUACAGCAAGCGGCCAAGCGAAAGCGUUAAGUAUUCCACCUGGGGAGUACGCCGGCAACGGUGAAACUCAAAGGAAUUGACGGGGGCCCGCACAAGCGGAGGAACAUGUGGUUUAAUUCGAUGAUACGCGAGGAACCUUACCCGGGCUUAAAUUGCAGAUGAAUUACGGUGAAAGCCGUAAGCCGCAAGGCAUCUGUGAAGGUGCUGCAUGGUUGUCGUCAGCUCGUGCCGUGAGGUGUCGGCUUAAGUGCCAUAACGAGCGCAACCCUUGUUGUCAGUUACUAACAGGUCAUGCUGAGGACUCUGACAAGACUGCCAUCGUAAGAUGUGAGGAAGGUGGGGAUGACGUCAAGUCAGCACGGCCCUUACGUCCGGGGCUACACACGUGUUACAAUGGGGGGGUACAGAGGGCCGCUACCACGCGAGUGGAUGCCAAUCCCCAAAACCUCUCUCAGUUCGGACUGGAGUCUGCAACCCGACUCCACGAAGCUGGAUUCGCUAGUAAUCGCGCAUCAGCCACGGCGCGGUGAAUACGUUCCCGGGCCUUGUACACACCGCCCGUCAAGCCAUGGGAGCCGGGGGUACCUGAAGUGCGUAACCGCGAGGAGCGCCCUAGGGUAAAACUGGUGACUGGGGCU
rnacentral:rRNA from 1 species